rnacentral:rRNA from 1 species
UACGAAGGGGGCUAGCGUUGCUCGGAAUCACUGGGCGUAAAGCGCACGUAGGCGGCUUUCUAAGUCAGGGGUGAAAUCCUGGAGCUCAACUCCAGAACUGCCUUUGAUACUGGAGAGCUGAGUCCGGGAGAGGUGAGUGGAACUCCGAGUGUAGAGGUGAAAUUCGUAGAUAUUCGGAAGAACACCAGUGGCGAAGGCGGCUC